GUUUAGUUAACGAUGUGACUGGGAGGAAUUCAUGGACCAGUUGGGACUUACCUCGGACGUGCUUUGGAGUAUCGUUGCUAUGGCGAUAAAGGAUCGUGCUGCUGUUCGGUAGAGGAGGGACUACAGAAAGAUGUACAGCUUCAGAGGAGGGAAUUCCGUGUUCCAGCCGCCUGGGAAGCCGUUCAGCCGACCAGAGUCCGCUCUUCCAGAACCAGAACCCAUGCAGGUGGAUCCUACUGGUCUCUCACUGUCAGAGCGUCAUGGAAGACUUACUCUAGGAUUGUGUCUAUACUGUGGAGCAUCGGGGCAUACCAUCAUCUCAUGCCCCAUUCGCCCACCACCACACCUGUCUCAGCCCUCCUCCAUUCCGGAUUAACUAAUUAAACCACAUAAGUCCGUCCCACACCACUGUAUUAAUAGAUAAAGUGCUGUGAUCUGAUAAAACAUUUAAUAAGGUGUUAAUAUGAUCAAUUCUGCUCAUAAAACAUUUCUCAGUAAUGAAUGAAAUGAAAAAAAUGUACCUUUUUUUUUUUUUCUUUUUUUUUGUGUUUACAAUGUUAACAAACUUAUUCAUGCUGUACCUGUUCCAUCCUCCACAUUUUGCUCACCUAGUUUCUCUGGCACAUCCUUCUCUACCUUUUCACACAAAUGGACACUGAGCUGCUCACUAGGGAGGAAUCAUGUAUGAAAGUUACCACUUGCUUACUUGAUCCCCUCCCUACAAGCUUGUUUAAAUCCUGUUUGUAUUCAUUGUGCCCUGCUGUUCUCAGUAUUGUAAAUGAUUCCUGCAGACUGGUGUUGUGCCAGCAGCGUUGACUGGUGACUGGUUUUGUCUGUACGGGUGUUCCUCAGGGUUCCAUCUUAGGCCCCUUACUUUUUAGCAUGUACAUAUUUCCACUUGGAUUGCUUUUAAGAUCACUUGGGCUUAAUUAUCACUUUUAUGCGGACGACACUCAGAUUUAUAUUCACUCUAAGCCUAAUCAAAAUUUGGACCUUUCUUUUUUAACACACUGUAUCGCUGAGACAAAAACGUGUCUCAAAAUUGUUUGUUCCUCAACGCUGAUAAGACAGAGCUUGUCUUGCUUAUUGGUGCCCCUCACCAGCUUCGCAAAGCUGGCUCACUGUUUCUAAACGUAGAUGGCUCUGUUCUGGAAGUACAAACCAAAUGAAAAAAUCUAGGAGUAAUCUUUGAUUCAAGUUUGUCUUUUGACCCUCACGUUCGGCACAUUGUAAAGAACUCAUUUUUUCAUCUCAGAAAUAUGGCUAGACUUCACCCUAUGUUAUCCCGUUCAGUGACUGAAAGGCUUAUUAAGACUUUUGUGUUCUCCCGCUUUGACUAUUGCAAUGCACUUCUGGCUGGGGUUCCUAAAUCCACACUUAAUAAACUGCAAUGUGUGCAAAAUUCAGCUGCUAGGAUCCUGACUGGAGUCAGGCAAAAUGAGCACAUUACACCAAUUCUCAAGUCCUUGCACUGGCUUCAGGUCAGGUUCUGAGUAGAUUUUAAAGUCCUCAUGCUUACAUACGAGGCACUGCAUGGUCUUGCCCCCCGGUAUCUGUGUGCACUUUUAACUUUAUACACACCCAAGCGUUACUUCUGCUCCUCACAAGCAGGACUGUUGGUAGUCCCACAGACACGGCUGUGUUCUGUAGGGGAUUGGGCUUUUUCCUCGUACGCGCCUAGACUUUGGAACGCAAUCCGUCCUCACAUCAGAGGCACCCAGAACUUUAGUACUUUUAAAUCUCUUUUAAAAACUCGUUUUUUUAGGGUAGCUUUUUCUUGACUACUUUAUUUUUGUGUGUGUAUUACUUGUUUUACUUUGAGUGUGUUGUAUUCUUAUUUGUUUUUUAUGUAAAGUGCAUAGAAGGUGUAUAAGUGCAUAGACAUUGUAGUUCCAGCCUGAAGAAACAUUGCACUAAGAGACUCACAAUUUAACUAAAACUUUUUUAAUUUUUUUAUCUUCAAUGUUUAACAAUUAACAUAAUGAUAUUUACGUAACAUAAUUCAAAACAUAAACGGAACACAACUCGUAAACGGAACACAACUCAAACAAUCUUCUAUAAUGUACUGUAUAAAAUAAUAUACAACAAUACACUUGAACAAAACAAUAACAAUAAACAUAACUGAACUAUAUGAUUAACAUGGAACAAAACAACUCAAAAGGGAACAAAACAGACAAGGACCAUUGCAAUGUUGCUAAUGAUGUUUAGCAUCCUGCGGUUUCCCACAUUGUUCAGAUCUGUGCUCAUAGGGGAU